GACGCUGCUAAGAGGGCACUUGAGCUUGCUCUCGGGCUGCGUGUGGUCAUAGAAGCAACAGCAAUGUCACCCUUGGAGAGCCCUCAGGAAACACCGGCUUCCAUUGGCUGAGUGUGAGCACACACGCGUGUGUGUAUGCAGGCGCCUGUCUGUCAUGGCCCUUCCUGUAAUGUCCUAUUCCAGAAAAACCAGGAGCUGGAAGCAAUCCCCCUGCCCCACAGAUUGCCCCCAUGUCCGCUUCUGAAGGGACCAAGAACCACAGACCUCCUCUUCAGAGGCCUGCUGCCUGGACACCCGUGUGGCAUCCGCCCUGAGCUGGAGGUGCAAAGCCAAGAUGAUUUAAUUUAUAGAAAGGACAAAGAUGUCGUGUAGCAGAUUUAAUCAUCGGAGAGUUUAAAAAAAAAAUAAGGACUGGGCUAAUGUCGUAAUUUACAUUUCAGGAUAAUAAAGAGGGAAAGGCAGAAAAGGAAGAGACCCAUAGC